UACGAAGGGGGCUAGCGUUGUUCGGAAUCACUGGGCGUAAAGGGCGCGUAGGCGGCUUUAUAAGUCGGGGGUGAAAGCCUGUGGCUCAACCACAGAAUUGCCUUCGAUACUGUAGAGCUUGAGACCGGAAGAGGUAAGUGGAACUGCGAGUGUAGAGGUGAAAUUCGUAGAUAUUCGCAAGAACACCAGUGGCGAAGGCGGCUUACUGGUCCGGUUCUGGACGCGUGAGGCGGCGAAAGCGUGGGGAGCAAACAGG
rnacentral:rRNA from 1 species